AGUUUAUCUUUGUAAGUACAGUGGUGUUCACCACAAAUUGAUCACAACCAGUUACAGAUUCCUCUGUUCCUUCUCUACUCCCACGGCUUCACUUGAUUAGCCUUAA
rnacentral:sRNA from 1 species